rfam:Schistosoma margrebowiei strain Zambia genome assembly, scaffold: SMRZ_contig0000801
GCACUGCUGAGGAGUCCCACAAUAGGACAAAACAGCCGUUCAGUGC